CCUACGGGAGGCAGCAGUGAGGAAUAUUGGUCAAUGGACGAGAGUCUGAACCAGCCAAGUAGCGUGAAGGAUGACUGCCCUAUGGGUUGUAAACUUCUUUUAUAUGGGAAUAAAAUGUUCCACGUGUGGGAUUUUGUAUGUACCAUAUGAAUAAGGAUCGGCUAACUCCGUGCCAGCAGCCGCGGUAAUACGGAGGAUCCGAGCGUUAUCCGGAUUGAUUGGGGUUAAAGGGAGCGUAGGUGGAUUGUUAAGUCAGUUGUGAAAGUUUGCGGCUCAACCGUAAAAUUGCAGUUGAAACUGGCAGUCUUGAGUACAGGAGAGGUGGGCGGAAUGCGUGGUGUAGCGGUGAAAUGCUGAGAUAGCACGAAGAACUCCGAUUGCGAAGGCAGCUCACUGGACUGCAACUGACACUGAGGCUCGAAAGUGUGGGUAUCAAACAGGAUUAGAUACCCCUGUAGUC
rnacentral:rRNA from 1 species